UACGUAGGGCGCAAGCGUUGUCCGGAUUCAUUGGGCGUAAAGGGUGCGUAGGCGGCGCGGUAAGUCGGGUGUGAAAUCUCGGGGGCUUAACUCCGAAACUGCAUUCGAUACUGCCGUGCUUGAGGACUGGAGAGGAGACUGGAAUUCAUGGUGUAGCAGUGAAAUGCGUAGAGAUCAUGAGGAAGACCAGUGGCGAAGGCGGGUCUCUGGACAGUUCCUGACACUGAGGCACGAAGGCCAGGGGAGCAAACGGG
rnacentral:rRNA from 1 species